rnacentral:rRNA from 1 species
UUGAACGCUGGCGGCAGGCCUAACACAUGCCGGUCGAGCGGAUGAAGGGAGCUUGCUCCUGGAUUCAGCGGCGGACGGGUGAGUAAUGCCUCGGAAUCUGCCUGGUAGUGGGGGAUAACGUCCGGAAACGGGCGCUAAUACCGCAUACGUCCUGAGGGAGAAAGUGGGGGAUCUUCGGACCUCACGCUAUCAGAUGAGCCUAGGUCGGAUUAGCUAGUUGGUGGGGUAAAGGCCUACCAAGGCGACGAUCCGUAACUGGUCUGAGAGGAUGAUCAGUCACACUGGAACUGAGACACGGUCCAGACUCCUACGGGAGGCAGCAGUGGGGAAUAUUGGACAAUGGGCGAAAGCCUGAUCCAGCCAUGCCGCGUGUGUGAAGAAGGUCUUCGGAUUGUAAAGCACUUUAAGUUGGGAGGAAGGGCAGUAAGUUAAUACCUUGCUGUUUUGACGUUACCAACAAAAUAAGCACCGGCUAACUUCGUG